rnacentral:lncRNA from 1 species
UCCACUUCCGUGCCUGUGAAGUUGUUUUAUGUCAAAAAUAACAAAAAUACUCAUUUUCCGGGACCCCGACUUUUGAUAUAAGACAUUUUUAUCGUAAUACUAUACACAUUUUGAUUUAUAAUGCUUUUUAGAUCUCAUUUAUCUAGUGAUAUGUGUUUUAUCAUAUACCCUUUCAUUCUAUCUUACAAUAAAUUCACACUUUGAAAGUCUGUAUUUUCAGAUUUACCAAAACUAUACCCCAGCUAAGAUAGGUUAUGGGGUGUGAUCGAGAGGACAAAAGUGCUUUAUGUUCGUUGGAGAGAGAGAGAGCUUGUUUUCAUUUUGGGAUAGUCUUUUAAAGAUAGGUUAUGGGGUGUGAUCGAGAGGACAAAAGUGCUUUAUGAUCGUUGGAGAGAGAGAGCCCAAGUUACUUCCAAUUACAGUUUCCUCGAACCUGUCAUUUUUGUUUGAUAUUUAACCUUAACUGCACG